GAUGACAGCCUUUUCCACCCUGCCCUCUUGGUACCCAAGUUAUUUUCUGGCAUCCAGGAAGAAUCAGGUCACAUGAAUGAAUUGAAGGGUAGUGAACGUAGAGGUCUUUACUGAGUAGUGGAAAUGGCUCUCAGAGGGAAGCGGAGCUGUAAAGGGGGUAGAGAGGGAAGAUAAUCUUCCCCUGGAGUCCGGCCAUCCCCGCCUGAACCCUUUUCUGACCGUAGUCUCUGACGUCUAGCUGCUGCUUCUCCUCUUCAUGGGUUGAGAACAUCUAUUAAGAUUUCACAGGGUUUGGAAUGCCAAUGCUGCAGACGGAAACCAAGCCAAGAUAACUGUCAAACCCCAAAUGUAACCAGAAGAGGGGGCAACAAACAGAAGCCAUAUAAAGAUUCCUGCUGCUUACCUGACCUUGACAACCUUCUCCAUGGACCUCUAUGUCCUCUGGACUCUUCUUGUCGUCUGCCUCAAAUACAGAGCGACUAUUCUACAUCUGUAGUUUAUCUAUGGAUGAUGGAGAACAAACUGUUAUUGCUAACAAUUCCACAGAGAUGGCUUAAUUUCAACUUAAACAGCAACCUUCUGUUAAGUAUUAAAAAGGUGUUCAGGACAACAGUGACAAAAGUGAGACUG
rnacentral:lncRNA from 1 species